rnacentral:rRNA from 1 species
ACACCGGCAGCUCAAGUGGUAGCCGCUUUUAUUGGGCCUAAAGCGUCCGUAGCCGGUCUGAUAAGUCUCUGGUGAAAUCUCACAGCUUAACUGUGGGAAUUGCUGGAGAUACUAUCAUGACUCGAGGUCGGGAGAGGCUGGAGGUACUCCCAGGGUAGGGGUGAAAUCCUGUAAUCCUGGGAGGACCACCUGUGGCGAAGGCGUCCAGCUGGAACGAACCUGACGGUGAGGGACGAAAGCCAGGGGCGCGAACCGGAUUAGAUACCCGGGUAGUCCUGGCCGUAAACGAUGUGGACUUGGUGUUGGGAUGGCUUCGAGCUGCCCCAGUGCCGAAGGGAAGCUGUUAAGUCCACCGCCUGGGAAGUACGGCCGCAAGGCUGAAACUCAAAUGAAUUGGCGGG